rnacentral:tRNA from 1 species
AAGGGUAUAGCUCAGUGGUAGAGCACAUGCUUAGCACCCACGAGGCCUUGGGUUCAAUCCCCAGUACCUCCA